UACCAAGACUAUGAUGUGUAGCCGGGCUGAGAGGUUGAACGGCCACAUUGGGACUGAGACACGGCCCAAACUCCUACGGGAGGCAGCAGUAGGGAAUUUUCGGCAAUGGAGGAAACUCUGACCGAGCAACGCCGCGUGAACGAUGAAGUAUUUCGGUACGUAAAGUUCUUUUAUUAGGGAAGAAUAAAUGAUGGAAAAAUCAUUCUGACGGUACCUAAUGAAUAAGCCCCGGCUAACUAUGUGCCAGCAGCCGCGGUAAUACAUAGGGGGCAAGCGUUAUCCGGAAUUAUUGGGCGUAAAGGGUGCGUAGGCUGUUAAAUAAGUUUAUGGUCUAAGUGCAAUGCUCAACAUUGUGAUGCUAUAAAAACUGUUUAGCUAGAGUAAGAUAGAGGCAAGUGGAAUUCCAUGUGUAGUGGUAAAAUGCGUAAAUAUAUGGAGGAACACCAGUAGCGAAGGCGGCUUGCUGGGUCUUUACUGACGCUGAGGCACGAAAGCGUGGGGAGCAAACAGGAUUAGAUACCCUGGUAGUCCACGCCGUAAACGAUGAGUACUAAACGUUGGGUAAAACCAGUGUUGAAGUUAACACAUUAAGUACUCCGCCUGAGUAGUACGUACGCAAGUAUGAAACUUAAAGGAAUUGACGGGACUCCGCACAAGCGGUGGAUCAUGUUGUUUAAUUCGAAGGUACCCGAAAAACCUCACCAGGUCUUGACAUGCUUCUGCAAAGCUGUAGAAACACAGUGGAGGUUAUCAGUUGCACAGGUGGUGCAUGGUUGUCGUCAGCUCGUGUCGUGAGAUGUUGGGUUAAGUCCCGCAACGAGCGCAACCCUUAUUGUUAGUUGCCAGCACGUAAUGGUGGGGACUUUAGCAAGACUGCCAGUGAUAAAUUGGAGGAAGGUGGGGACGACGUCAAAUCAUCAUGCCCCUUAUGACCUGGGCUACAAACGUGAUACAAUGGCUGUUACAAAGGGUAGCUGAAACGCAAGUUUUUGGCGAAUCUCAAAAAAACAGUCUCAGUUCGGAUUGAAGUCUGCAACUCGACUUCAUGAAGUUGGAAUCGCUAGUAAUCGCGAAUCAGCAUGUCGCGGUGAAUACGUUCUCGGGGUUUGUACACACCGCCCGUCAAACCACGAAAGUUGGCAAUACCCAAAACCGGUGGCCUAACUUCGCAAGAAGAGGGAACCGUCUAAGGUAGGGUCGAUGAUUGGGGUUAAGUCGUAACAAGGUAUCCCUACCGGAAGGU
rnacentral:rRNA from 2 species